rnacentral:sRNA from 1 species
CCUUAAACCCUAAACCCUAAACUCUUAACCCUAACCCUUAAACCUAAACCCAAAACCAUAGUCCCCAAACUUUAUAACCAAAAUCCUACUUUAGCUUCUGGAAUCUGGUUGCGGUUCUAGUUCUUAUGCUCAACGAUACACAAAGCAUCUAGUAAUAUUUGGCUAUAAAUCCGCUAAUAAAGCCACUUCUUGAUUCUCAAAGCUUUGAUGGUGAAGUCAAAGAUCUUAUGAGUUUUUAGUCUUGAAUCGUAUAACAAGGAAGCACUACUUUACUUUUCGGGAUCUCGUUGAGGUUAUAGUUUUAUAUAUUCAAUCAUACACAUGACAUCUAGUCAUAUUUCACUCUGAAACGCUAACCACGAUUCUUCUUGCUUCUCUAAGUAUCAUACUAUAUUUCAUCC